rnacentral:misc_RNA from 1 species
GAAGUGCGAUAAGCAAUGCGAAUUGCAGAACCGUGAGUCAUCAGAUUUUUGAACGCAACUGGCGCUGACUGGCUCUCCAGUCAGCAUACUUGUUUCAGUGUCUCUUUAUCUCCUAACCAAUAUCAUAAUGCGAGAGAUAUCCUUCUCUUGCUAAGCAUGAAAGCACUCUGCGCUCAGCGAGCGGCUUCGACUUGUUCGAUACCGCACUCAAUGCAGCAGUCACAUUGCUCACAAUGUGAACUCAUUGAGAGCUGAGGCAGUGCGGCGUAAGCUGCCAGUGCUUAGUCACACAAACUUACUUGCAUCUGAAAUCAAGCAGGAUCACCCGCUGAACUUAA